rnacentral:rRNA from 1 species
UGGGAAUUUUGGACAAUGGGCGAAAGCCUGAUCCAGCAAUGCCGCGUGCAGGAUGAAGGCCUUCGGGUUGUAAACUGCUUUUGUACGGAACGAAAAAGCUCCUUCUAAUACAGGGGGCCCAUGGCACGGUACCGUAAGAAUAAGCACCGGCUAACUACGUGCCAGCAGCCGCGGUAAUACGUAGGGUGCGAGCGUUAAUCGGAAUUACUGGGCGUAAAGCGUGCGCAGGCGGUUAUGUAAGACAGAUGUGAAAAUCCCCGGGCUCAACCUGGGAACUGCAUUUGUGACUGCAUGGCUAGAGUACGGUAGAGGGGGAUGGAAUUCCGCGUGUAGCAGUGAAAUGCGUAGAUAUGCGGAGGAACACCGAUGGCGAAGGCAAUCCCCUGGACCUGUACUGACGCUCAUGCACG